ACACGUAGGGGCCUGACGUUGUUCGGAAUCAUUGGGCGUAAAGGGCGCGCAGGCGGCCGUCCAAGUCCGGUGUUAAAUGGUCGGGCUCAACCCGAUCAUGCGCUGGAAACUGGGCGGCUUGAGUCCCGUAGGGGAUGCCGGAAUUCCAGGCGUAGGGGUGAAAUCUGUAGAUAUCUGGAAGAACACCGAUGGCGAAGGCAGGCAUCUGGCCGGAGACUGACGCUGAGGCGCGAAGGCGCGGGGAGCGAACAGGUUUAGAUACCCUGGUAGUCCGCGCAGUAAACGAUGCGCACCAGGUGUCGGGCGGCAGCGCCCGGUACCGGAGCUAACGCGAUGAGUGCGCCGCCUGGGGAGUAUGCCCGCAAGGGUGAAACUCAAAUGAAUUGACGGGG
rnacentral:rRNA from 1 species